GCGCAAGAGAGAAUAUCCAAAGCAAGUGUCCGAAUCCAACAAACAAAAUCCGUUGUAGCUUUUCAGCUUUGGAAAUUGAACUUUUCAAGAUUGCAAAUGAAUUUCGUUAGGCAACCACUUGGUCUCUGGUUUCUGCCUUCUCUCUACGAGAUUCAAAUCCACCAAGAACAGCCCCAUCCAUCAUUCUGCAAUGUAAACAUUUCUUUUUUAAGGUACAGGGAGUACCUGCAACCAAAAUGCAGAGAUGGGAACCUUAUAGGCCUGCAGUUCAUCCCAAAUGCGCCGUACGACAUCUGUUCCACCCUGCAUUCCGACAACAGCUCCAGAUAUAAUCCACUUAGGAAGCUCAGGAGGCCUCCCAAUAGUUUCUGUGAAGUGUUCAAUAAGCUCAGCAGGUGAGUUGCCAUGCAAUAUUCUUCCUAGAGCUGAAUUGCUGUGUAUCUGCAAGCUCCAUUAUACAGAAAACAGGAAAGUGCAAGUUUAAAAUUGAAUGAGCUUCCAUUUAUUUUUAGCUUACAGAAUAUUUUGUACUCCUUUCAAUUGUCUAGGUAAUAUAUAUAACCAAGGACCAAUCCUAGUUUCUUUAAAAUUUAUUGUGUAUAUUCUGAAGGUGGCGUAAAUAAUUCAUUUUAUUAGACCAAGUUUAUCUAGAUAGAAAAAUAUACAUAUUUCUCAGCAAUAUGAUUCGACAUACCCAAUUUGUUUUGUCUCAUCUUUGAAAUUCUUUUUAUAGCCAUCAUCAUUGCUUUUCUAAAUUACAUCUGGUCUAAAAGAUACUCAAAUUCUGAUAUAAUGUGCAGUGGUUCUCAAAGCAAUACCUGUAUUUGAACUCUAUCAUGUCUCGUUAAAUCAAAAACAGAGUAAUCAUAUCCAUCAAGAUAAAGAGACCUCAUCUCGGAUGUCAUGUAGAAUGGUGAAGGAGCAUAAGUUGUACUCCAAUUACCGCCAGCUCUGCAAAAUAAAAAAUAAAAAGAAAAAAAUACUGUUCAGAUUCCUAUAGCUAAACCUACAAGAGUAAUAGUUAGAAGAAAAUCUACCUGUAGCUAACCAAGUUGAUUGCAAAAGUAAUAGGUUGAUCUCCUCUUCCAAUCCCCUGUUCUUGAACAAAAAUGGGUACCCUUUUCCCUUUGAAGUCCAUGUGGGAAAACUGCUCUCCAAAACCAUAGAACCUCUCAUUGGCUUCACUUGAAUAGCUAAGGCAGAUUCUGUUGAACUGUGUAAACUCUGGAACCUUGGUUUCUAUUUCCUCCGAUGAAGAAACUGCAACAAACCCUCUAGGCCUUGUAAAGAAUCUACACCAUCCAAGCUUUCGUUUUCGAAUCCUUCGUAGCUUCAACCUUAACCUCUGGUAUUUUCCUAAACGAGUUGGUGAAGCUCUUCGUGGGAAUUCAAAGUUGGGUUCUCCAACUCUCACUUGAAAACCAAUCUGGUUAAGGUUCUUCUGAUCAAAGAGAACCCAAUAACUUGCGUAAGUGGGUGGGCCCGUUGUGUCAAAAUCUAUAUGCUUGUAAAUGCUAGAUUCUGGAAGUCUCUUCUUUCUUUUGCUGAAUAACUUGCCUGUUAUUAACAAAACAGGAAAUUGGGUAUCUUUCAAAUCUUUUCUCUGGUCAAAACUUGAACACCGAGAUGAAGAAUCAAGAUCACUAGCCUCCUCUAAAUGGUUACCAUCCAACUUAUUGAUCACUCUUAUAUCUUCAAUCGUUUGGUGGUCACAAACCACAAGAACGUUCCCAUCUUUUAUAGCAAAGGAUCCCCUGCUUUCUUCAAUCUCUGUCUCAGCCAAAGCUGCAGAGACAAAAGCUUGUCCAGGAAUGGUGGACCAGAGGGCUCUUGUUGGUUGAGACUGGUGAGAAAUUGAGAGAUACCCACCAUUUCUAGAGCUCCAAAGAAGCUGGAAAUCUCUCCCAACUGGGAAGAUUUGGUGUGAAGGCAGUGUUCGGGAAUUGGCAAAAAGGCUUCCUUGAAUGAAGGGAAGAGACCUUGGCGUUGAUGGGAAGGGGUUGUUUAGGUGCCUGUGGUGCUUUUGGGUGAUCUUGAGGGUUGCCAUGUUGGCGUUAAUAGAACUUGUUAGUUUAUUAUAAUUUAUUUAUAGAUUUAGAAACGCGUCAUUUUUUCAGAUUUUGUGACUUUUUUUGUUGGAAAAUUCUUAUAUUUCUUUGCUUAAAAUCGUAAUGUAAUUAGUACGUAGCAUUUAUUGCA